UGUGUAGGCGGUUCUUUAAGUUUGGUGUGAAAUCUCCCGGCUCAACCGGGAGGGUGCGCCGAAUACUGAGGGACUAGAGUGUGGGAGAGGAAAGUGGAAUUCCUGGUGUAGCGGUGAAAUGCGUAGAUAUCAGGAGGAACACCGGUGGUGUAGACGGCUUUCUGGACCAUAACUGACGCUGAGACACGAAAGCGUGGGUGAAAC
rnacentral:rRNA from 1 species